rnacentral:rRNA from 1 species
AACAGGAUUAGAUACCCUGGUAGUCCACGCCGUAAACGAUGUCGACUUGGAGGUUGUGCCCUUGAGGCGUGGCUUCCGGAGCUAACGCGUUAAGUCGACCGCCUGGGGAGUACGGCCGCAAGGUUAAAACUCAAAUGAAUUGACGGGGGCCCGCACAAGCGGUGGAGCAUGUGGUUUAAUUCGAUGCAACGCGAAGAACCUUACCUACUCUUGACAUCCAGAGAACUUGGCAGAGAUGCUUUGGUGCCUUCGGGAACUCCGAGACAGGUGCUGCAUGGCUGUCGUCAGCCCGUGUUGUGAAAUGUUGGGUUAAGUCCCGCAACGAGCGCAACCCUUAUCCUUUGUUGCCAGCGGUUCGGCCGGGAACUCAAAGGAGACUGCCAGUGAUAAACUGGAGGAAGGUGGGGAUGACGCCAAGUCAUCAUGGCCCUUACGAGUAGGGCUACACACGUGCUACAAUGGCGUAUACAAAGAGAAGCGACCUCGCGAGAGCAAGCGGACCUCAUAAAGUACGUCGUAGUCCGGAUUGGAGUCUGCAACUCGACUCCAUGAAGUCGGAAUCGCUAGUAAUCGUAGAUCAGAAUGCUACGGUGAAUACGUUCCCGGGCCUUGUACACACCGCCCGUCACACCAUGGGAGUGGGUCGCAAAAGAAGUAGAUAGCUUAACCUUCGGGAGGGCGUUUACCACUUUGUGAUUCAUGACUGGGGCGAAGUCGUAACAAGGUAACC